rnacentral:rRNA from 1 species
GUACACGCUGUGACUAGCAUAUCAAUAAGCGGAGGAAAAGAAACUAACUAGGAUUCCCUCAGUAACGGCGAGUGAAGCGGGAAGAGCUCAAAUUUGAAAUCUUCAAGGUUCUACCUUGACGAAUUGUAGUUUAAAGAAGUGUUUUCUGUUGGAGUUUUGGUAAAAGUUCUUUGGAAUAGGACAUCAUAGAGGGUGAGAAUCCCGUAUUUGACCAUUAUUUCCAGCUUUGUGAUACACUUUCAAAGAGUCGGAUUGUUUGGGAAUGCAGUCCAAAAUGGGUGGUAAAUUUCAUCUAAAGCUAAAUAUUGGCGAGAGACCGAUAGCGAACAAGUACCGUGAGGGAAAGAUGAAAAGAACUUUGAAAAGAGAGUUAAAUAAUACGUGAAAUUGUCAAAAGGGAAGCGUUUGACACCAGUGUUGUUUUCUCGAAAAUCAAUUAAAAAAGGCAGGAUUUUGUGUUGUAUUGACUUUAUCAGCUUUCUGCACUCUUUUCUUGUCUUUUUUAAUGCACUUUUCGUUUAACAAGUCAACAUCAAUUUCUUUUGUUGUAAAAGGGUCAUUGGAAGGUGGCUUUCUUUUCGGAGAAAGUGUUUAUAGCCUUUGGCCUCUGCAAUCGGAGAGAUUGAGGUCUGCAGCGUAGAUCCUUCGGGGUUAGAUACAUUUGUGCUAAGUUAUAGCCUUUCAUAGACAACUUGUUGACUAUGAUCAGUCAUGUAGCUUACUCGCUUAUGCUAUUUUACCUACGCUUAGGAUGUUGAAGACUCUACAGAGAUA